UCAAAAGUCUUGCUAAAAAACCCUCUGAUA
rnacentral:piRNA from 1 species